rnacentral:rRNA from 1 species
UACGGGGGGGGCAAGCGUUGUUCGGAAUUACUGGGCGUAAAGGGCUCGUAGGCGGCCAACUAAGUCGGACGUGAAAUCCCCAGGCUCAACCUGGGAACUGCGUCCGAUACUGGAUGGCUUGAAUUCGGGAGAGGGAUGCAGAAUUCCAGGUGUAGCGGUGAAAUGCGUAGAUAUCUGGAGGAACACCGGUGGCGAAGGCGGCAUCCUGGACCGAUAUUGACGCUGAGGAGCGAAAGCCAGGGGAGCAAACGGG